UAAUACAGAGAGUGCAAACGUUGUUCGGAAUCACUGGGCUUAAAGCGCACGUAGGCGGCAUCGUAAGUGUCGGGUGAAAUCCCACGGCUCACCCGUGGAACUGCCCGGCAGACUGCGAUGCUAGAGUGUGGUAGGGGAAAGCGGAACUCCUGGUGGAGCGGUGAAAUGCGUAGAUAUCAGGAGGAACACCGGUGGCGAAGGCGGCUUUCUGGUCCACAACUGACGCUGAGGUGCGAAAGCUAGGGGAGCAAACGGG
rnacentral:rRNA from 1 species